rnacentral:rRNA from 1 species
UACGUAGGGGGCAAGCGUUGUCCGGAUUUAUUGGGCGUAAAGCGCUCGCAGGUGGUCCGCUGCGUCGUGCGUGAAAGACCCCGGCUCAACUGGGGGAUGUCGUGCGAUACGGGCGGACUGGAGGCCAGUAGGGGGAUGCGGAAUUCCGGGUGUAGUGGUGGAAUGCGUAGAGAUCCGGAGGAACACCAGCGGCGAAGGCAGCUCGCUGGGACGGUAUUGACGCUAAGGCGCGAAAGCGUGGGGAGCAAACAGG